AUUGGACGCGUGUCACUUGAUAAAACUGUCACCCGGAACACAGUGAUCGCGUACACUGGCGAGUCAUCGAUUGAUAAGCAGCGGUCGAACGGAGGAACCGAUCGUCUAUUAUAUUUAUAUCGGAGCAAUACAAACCUUUUUUACUUAAAUCUGACUUCAUCGUUACGUGGGAUACGCGAGAAUGAAUUUAGAAUUGGAAUGGAGUCGGAAGCCGAGGGAAUGAGAUUUCGGAAUUUCCUUCGCGUGAAAUUGGUUACAUUGGAAAAUGAACGAAAGUUCCAUAUAAAUAUAGACAUUUCGAGCCUCUUCCACUCUAUCGAGAAAAAAAGGAUUUACUGAAGAAGCUAAUUUUGAAACUUGCGUCGCUCGAAACUAGUUGCAUCGCGAAGAAGAAUCGAAUGAUGAAAAGCGGAUAGAAAAAUUGAUCUUCUUCACUUUAUAAUUGAAUAUGUAGUUGAUUACAUUAAAAUAAGGAAAUUACGUAAUGAGUUGACUUCUUGAACCAGCGAGUUUCACAAUCGCACGAAGAUGUAAGAAUAAUCGAAGGUGACCGAAAGCUGAAUUUCUUCAGACGUAUUUGAAAUUCAUCAUGCGCAUUUAUGAAGAUUUGUGCAUAGUAAGUCUGAUUUUAAUAAAAUCAUAUCAACAUUAAUCGUUAUCACAUAUCGUUCUUGAUUCACGAAUUUUUGAUUUUCUUAAAAAGCAACUGUCGGAAAAAUAUUCUCUAAAAUUCGCCUUUUAAUAAAGAAACUACGAUUGUAAUAAAAGUGUAGUAGAAAGUUUUAACACAAUUAACGCAAUAUAUAUCGAUACGCGCGUCCUUCGAUUUAUCCAACGAACGAAUGCAUAUUCUUGGUAAAACGUCAAUUUCUUUUUCUUCCAAUAAACAAUAAGUUAUAAUACUUACUACACGUAUAAUUAUAAUCGCUAAUAUAAUAGUAUUCUUAUAAUAUUUUCAUAAUUUACUUCUUAACAAAGUAGAUACAAUAGUAAUGAAAUGAACGAUAAUUUCACGUUCAAAAAUACGCAGAAAAUUUGUCUUAUAGAGCAAUUUCAACAUAAUAUACUUUAGCAAUAUGUUACAGUCAUUUAUGGCAGUUUUCCAUGAAUUGUGUAUAUCCGAGCAGUGAAAUAGGUCACGACUAAAGUCCGGUACUUUAUGUAUUCCUUCGAUUCAAAAUAACGAAUUAACUGUGUUAAUUUAUGUAUUCCUUCGAUUCAAAAUAACGAAUUAACUGUGUUACAAUCUUCAUAACAUGUUACAACAACUAAUAGACUUCGAUGUUGCAAUUACAACUUGGAAAUAGCACGUUGUAUAUAUUUUCAAGUGUUUUUUUAUGUCGUUGUUAAGGUAAUGUAUCGCUUUAUUCCUUGUAAUUAUUAUAAUCAGAUUACGUCGAUUGAUUGAUAUCUUUCCUUUGCAUUAAUUGUGGCAUUAGUUAGUCGUUUAAUAAUGGAAGAAGAUAUCGAAUGGACGGAAAACGUACAUUAUAAUCGAAUGUACGUAAUAUACAGAAACAUAUAUCCUAAACAUCAUAGAUCGUAAUUAUUUAGUUGUAUUAACAACGACAUGAAUUUACACGAGGUUCGUUGUUCAAAAAAUAAUUUCUUUAUUUAAUGGUCGUCUACCUUUUUACAUUUACAUUUACAUUUACCAGGACUAAACGAAAUCAGCCUGUCCUCGUUACUUAUCUUGAUUAAUUAAAAGAUUUCCCAAUUUUUUUUUUCUGAUUUCGAAAUCGACGCUUCAAUUCCUUUACUUCUAGCUUAGAAAUAGAAUAAUCAUAGGAAUCAUAAUUAUUAGGAAUUAUGACAUUACAUUAUUCAGAUUACGCAAGCAUAUCAUCCAUUAUAAAUUCUAUUUGGAACUAACAGGCUCGUAGAAAUUUUACAUAUUUCAUCCUUUUUCCGUGUUUGUAUAUACUAACUAACCAAUAACAACACAUGAAUAAAAAGAUGCUUCUCGUAAAUAGAGUUAUAUUGUAAAAAAUGGUAUUUCUAUAUCUUUCCCAUAAUAUAAGGUUUUUUAAAAAUACCUUUCUUGUAUUUUAAAACACCAGAUUGACGUGGAGCGAUUUUUAAAUUUUUAUUUCGAGUACAAAUUAUAAAUUACGUUCCUCGUUCCUGCAAAAUUAAAUGGAUGAUCAAAGGGUUAAAGGCUAUAUUAAACUUACCGCAUUCACAUUUACAUAUAUACAUAUCUGCAUUGCGCAGCACAUGACCAAAUACGUGCAAAGAAACUUUUCUCUUCAUAGUGUUUGGUAAUGCAAUCAAAUCGAUUGUUUACUUUAAAGCAAGCUGAGUAUCACAUUUUUAUACCAUUAUUCAGAAUUCCAGAAUCAAUUUUGUUUUUUAAAUUCAUGUCCUUACCUACAAAUGGAAAAAAGAUAAUUACAUUAUUACAAUAUCAAUUUUAUUAGAAAAGUCGUAAGAUCAAGCUUUUUAUCAACUAGUGAAUUAAUUUACAUUUACCGAUAAAAUAUCAAAGAAAUCGAUUGCUCCGUAUGAAGGUAAAAUUCGCUCACGAGACGAUUUGUUUCCGAGGAAAAUAAAUUUGUGAAUUUAUUGUUAAAAAUGAAGUCUUAGGUGGACAAAUUUUAUUCUAC